rnacentral:rRNA from 1 species
AGUGAACGCUGGCGGUAGGCCUAACACAUGCAAGUCGAACGGCAGCACAGGAGAGCUUGCUCUCUGGGUGGCGAGUGGCGGACAGGUGAGGAAUACAUCGGAAUCUACUCUGUCGUGGGGGAUAACGUAGGGAAACUUACGCUAAUACCGCAUACGACCUACGGGUGAAAGCAGGGGACCUUCGGGCCUUGCGCGAUUGAAUGAGCCGAUGUCGGAUUAGCUAGUUGGCGGGGUAAAGGCCCACCAAGGCGACGAUCCGUAGCUGGUCUGAGAGGAUGAUCAGCCACACUGGAACUGAGACACGGUCCAGUCUCCUACGGGAGGCAGCAGUGGGGAAUAUUGGACAAUGGGCGCAAGCCUGAUUCAGCCAUACCGCGUGGGUGAAGAAGGCCUUCGGGUUGUAAAGCCCUUUUGUUGGGAAAGAAAUCCAGCUGGCUAAUACCCGGUUGGGAUGACGGUACCCAAAGAAUAAGCACCGGCUAACUUCGUGCCAGCCGCCGCCGUAA